rnacentral:rRNA from 1 species
UAAGGAAUAUUGGACAAUGGACGCAAGUCUGAUCCAGCCAUGCCGCGUGAAGGAUGAAUGCCCUCUGGGUUGUAAACUUCUUUUAUAGGGGAAGAAAGAUACUUUUUUUAAGGUAGUUGACGGUACCCUAUGAAUAAGCACCGGCUAACUCCGUGCCAGCAGCCGCGGUAAUACGGAGGGUGCAAGCGUUAUCCGGAUUUACUGGGCGUAAAGCGCGUGCAGGCGGAUUGGAGAGUUGGAUGUGAAAGCUCCCGGCUUAACUGGGAGAGGUCGUUCAAUACUUCCAGUCUUGAGUGCAGUAGAGGGAAGUGGAAUUCCGGGUGUAGUGGUGAAAUGCGUGGAUAUCCGGAGGAACACCAGUGGCGAAAGCGGCUUCCUGGACUGUAACUGACGCUCAGACGCGAAAGCUAGGGUAGCAAACG